rnacentral:rRNA from 1 species
CAUGAGUUUGAUCCUGGCUCAGGAUGAACGCUAUUAGUGUGUUUUAUACAUGCAAGUUGUACGAAUUAUUUCGUAGCAAACGGGUGAGGAACUAAUACAAAAUUUUACCAUUUAGUUGAGAAUAAAACGUUUUUUAAAAUUAUUAAAAUAAUUUUAAAAUUAAUAAAUUUUUACGUUAAUGCUCCGUUUUUAUUACUCAGUAAUAAAUUGAAAAACUAUAAUAUUAAUUUUUAUAGUUGCUAAUUAUUGAUACCUUUGUAUAAGAUUAGGUUGUUGAUAAUUUUAACAUUUUAUCAAGCCUAUGAUCUUUAGUUGGUCUGAAAGGAUGAUCAACCACACUGGGACUGAGAUACGGCCCAGACUCAAUUUUGAGUCAGCAGUAAAGAAUCUUGGACAAUGAACGCAAGUUUGAUCCAGCAACACUAUUUGAAUGAUUGACAGCUAUAAUUUGGUUGUAAAGUUCUUUCGUUAAAAUUGAUAAUGACAAUUUAAAGAAGUUAUAGUCCUAGCUAAUCUCGUGCCAGCAGCUGCGGUAAAACGUGAAGGGCAAGCGUUAUCCAGAUUAACUCGGCGUAAAGUGUUCGUAGACGGUAAAGCAAGUUAUUUGUUAAACUUUAAAGCUUAACUUUAAAUUAGCUUAUAAUACUACUUUACUUGAGUUUUUUAUAAAAAGAUAGAAUUUUAAAUGGAGGGUUAAUCAUCCAAAGAUAUUUAAAGGAACACCUAAAGCGAAAGCAAUUUUUUAAUAAAAACUGACGUUGAGGGACGAAAGUACAGUUAGCAAACAGGAUUAGAUACCCUGGUAGUCUGUACUGUAAAUUAUGAAUGCUGUAAUUUAACAUAUGAUUUUGUUAGAUUUUUUAAGCUAACAGCCAUAAGCAUUCCGCCUGAGAAGUACGAUCGCAAGUUUGAAACUCAAAGGAAUUGACGGGGGCCUGCUACUAUCGGUGGAGCAUGUGAUUUAAUGCGAUAAUCCGCGCAAAACCUUACCAAUCCUUGAUAUAAGUAAAUUUAAUAAAUUUUUUAAUUUUAAAAAUUCGUUGAUUUUUUUACAGGUGUUGCACGACUGUCGUCAGCUCGUGUUGUGAAACGUUUGGUUCAUUCCUUUAACGAGCAAAACUCUUAUUUUUAAUUGUCUUAAUUUUACGUUUAUUUAAAUUUUUAUUUUAAAAUUUAAAAUCCGCUUUAAAAAAACAGCCAGUGAUGAAUUGGAGGAAGAUAAGAAUAAAGUCAAGUCUCUGUGGCCCUUAUGGAUUGGGCUAUACACGUGCUACAAUGAAAAUUACAAUAAGUUACAAAAAAUUAAAAUUUUAGUUAAUCUCUUAAAAGUUUUCGUAGUUCGAAUUAUAAACUGAAACCCGUUUAUAUGAAGUUGGAAUCGAUAGUAAUCGCAAAUCAUAAUGUUGCGGUGAAUAUGUACACUGGUCUUGCACACACCGCCCGUCACAUCCGAAGAAUUAAUUUUGCUUGAAGAUUUUUUCUAAAUCCAUUGAAAAAUUAAUAAUUUGGAUGAAGUCGUAACAAGGUAGCUUUACGGGAACGUGUAGCUGGAACA